rnacentral:miRNA from 4 species
GAGGUGAGCCGAGCCAAUAUC